UCUGGACGGCUCCAAGUCUAUUGGACUGAACCAUUGGAAGGAUUAGUUGUCACUGAUCCCAAAUAAAAUCUCCUGGCAGAGAAAAUGGACAGUCGUUCCAUACCAUAUGUCUUCUCAGCUUCAAAAUCAACAACAACAACAACAACAAAAAACCCCAAAACUUCCAUCAUCUGCAGAAGUCAAAUAAAACUUUCAAACUUGACUCUUAUUGGCCCCAAAUAGAGCAUAUAAUCAUUCUUGAUCAAUUGCAAUUAUCCAAAGCAUGGAAUAUAUUGAUUGACUUAUGCCAAUUAAGCCCUAUCUCUGAAGAUUGAAGAACAAUCUGCCUACUCUAACUGGGCUUGAGAGAAAAAGAUGUUGUCACCUUGUUUUGCCAGGUUACAAAAGUAACAGAUCCUCCUUAUAAUCAUAUAAUUAUUUCUUUUCUUUGAUGUAUUAUUUGACAUUGAUAAAGUAUUAAUUUUGGGAUACACACUUUCAAAGAAAAAUAUAUUGAAAGAUUAACUCAAAGAAAAUAUACCAGCUAGAAUACAACAAUGCUACAGAUGGUUAACAUUCAUGCUUCCUCUUCUGUGACAUGAAGUUGCCCCCUGGGAAGAAGAUUCUCAGUCACAAGAUUAAUUUUCCAUCUCUCCCCUUGCAUACAGGUUUGACCCUGUAACUAGGUCUCAUCAAAGAAAUAGCUCAAGUUAUGUAUAUAGUAUAACCUUGAAAUUGACCCAAUAGUCCCAUAGACAGUUUUUUUGGAUAAACAUAGAAAUUGACCCUUCUGGUCUUGAAGCUUGAAACUUACAUUUGUUUUACCUUAGUUUCUUCCUCAGGAAAACGACCUUGUGGCUUCUCAAUAGAAAAGUAUAAAAUAACUGAAACUGACCAGAUCACCACAUGCCAGAUCCCUCAUUCAUCAUGAUUGCUUCUUUACCCCUUCCUAGUUCCUUUUUUCUUACACAUUGUUACAAUUAUUCUCUGCUAUAUAAACUCUUAAUUUUAGUUGGUCAGGGAGAUGGAUUUGAGACUUAUCACCUAUCUCCUUGGCUGCAGCAUGCUAUUAAAGUUUUCCUCCUUGGCAAUAAUCGUUGUCUCAGUAAUCAGCUUUCUGUGCAGCAAGCAGCAGAACCUAGACCAAAUCCCUACUGUUUCAGUAACAAUCUUGGGGUUUUAAAAAAGAGCAGAUGCUCUCUCUACACUCUCUUUUUUUUUUUAUCUUCCAUCUGCAUGUGGAGAUCUCUGAGACACUAAAAUAUUCCAGAGCCAUGAAAUAGAGGUAACUGGAGUCCCUGAAUUACCAUAUGGAGGUAAGUCACCCCCCCACUCAGAAACACCUGCAAUGAACUGUUGCAUAAAGGAGAAAUAAACUUCUAAAAUUUGGGGGUUUAAUUAUUGAGUACCUGCUGGUACUUUAAUUAAUACAAAAUCAAAUAAAAAUGGAAUAAUUUCUAUACCAGUUAUUUCUAAGUAUCACUGUUCAUUCUACUAUUAACACAUUACUAAAAGAUGAGCAGAUAGACAUGAUUAGUUUUUAUAAUAUUAAUUUUUUGAGAUGGUAAUGAAUCUGUUUUUUAAAACUAAUUCCCUGGAAAACAAAAAUAUAACUGUUAUUUUACCAUACGGUCCAUUAUAAAUAGAAAUUAUAAUUUAAAAUAAUUAUCCUACCUACACACUAGCAACUUAAAAUUGUCUUAUCUCCCUUUAAAGAAAUUUCCAGAUGGAUGACAGAGUCCUCGAAGUGAACAAGAUUUGUAUAUGUGCAGGGAAUUGUGAAUGGUUAUGAUUCAGACUAUCUCAAGUCAAAAAUAUGAAAGGAUAGUUUUGAUCAAUGAAACAGGAAAGUUGGCAGGGGUUAAGUCAUGAAGGAUGUUAAAGGCCAACUUAAGAAAUUUAGAUAUACACUGAAGAGAGUAGAGACACAAAGAUUUUAGGCAAAGAAAUCAGGGUUAUGUUUUAGAAAGUUUACUAUGCACUUCCAGUCAAAAUAACUAAGUAAGACUUGUCUUUCUGAAACCAAAUCAAAACAGAAAGAACAAGAAACAGUAAAUGUCAUCUAUAAAAACAGAAAAAUUGCCCAACUGCAAACCUUAAUCUAUGAAAUUCUGCCAGUUGUAGUGAACAUAGGCUAAGUAAGGAAGUUGAGAACAAACCUGUGCUAAAGAGGGACUGACCACAAAGAUUUCCAAAAGGUAGUGUUCUUACUAGAAUUUCUUUGUUAAGAUCAACUUGUUCUAGGUGAGUGGACAAAUUUCCAAAGCGUCCUGAACUCCUAUUGAGGCUGCAGAGUACCACGGAAGGACUGGCUGAAUAAAGAAAUAGAGGGACACUAUAUUUUUGUAAAAAUACAAUUUUAGGAUGAAGGAUGGCAAUCACUUCUUCAGUUGAAUUCCUUAUUUUAGCUAAAAAGAAGUAAACAUAAAAUGGCCUCCAAAGGAUCUGUGACAUAAAAGGCAUCAUUUCUACUCAAGUGAUUUCCUGCUGGCCCACAGAAGACCAAAGCUCACAGAAUUGACUCUUGGUCUCAAGGGUUCAGAAACGAUGGAACAUCUAUUAGUCUAUGAACUCAGUUUAUUCCCUUGGCCUCUCUCCUUCACUGUCUUCAAAUGAGUGAGACAUAAAAGACAUUCCCAAAUGCAUAAUAAACAGAAAUGUAUCAGUAUGGGAGCCAUGAAACAAUAGUGCAAAGAAGGUGGAUGAGCAGAUAGACCACCAGAAAUGAACCAGAAAAACAUUAUAUAAUAAAGUCAAAGCACAAUGUGUACCACAUUGCUUUACAAAAUCUGGCUGUAAGCAAAAGAAUUGUUUCAAAACAGACAAAAAUCCCGGUUAGGGGACAGUUUAAAGAAUCCAGAUCUAUCACCAAUCAGGAUGUCAGCAGUAAAGACGGAUAGAACAACACAGGCCACUGUUGCCUUUGUUUUUCAAGUAUUUGUGUGCACAGGACUUGAACUCUUAUUUGCCAUACACUAAGGCUCAGUUUUCUGAAGGGUAAAAUAAGAGUAAAGAAACUUAGUCCUUUAUUUGGGUGGCUAAAGUAAAAUGUAAUUAUUACUAGGCAGUUAAAUGUAUAAACCAGGCUGGGCAUGGUGACUCAUGUCUGUAAUCCCAGCAGUUUGGGAGGCCGAGGUGGGUGGAUCACUUGAGGUCAGGAGUUCAAGACCAGCCUGGCCAACAUGGCAAAACCCCGUCUAUACUAAAAAUACAAGAAUUACCUGGGCGUGGUGGCACACACAUGUAAUCCCAGCUACUCAGGAGGCUGAGGCAGGAGAAUUGUUCCAACCCAGGAGGCAGAGGUUGCAGUGAGCCAAGAUCACGCCACUGCACUCCAGUCUGGGUGACAGAGUGAGACUCCAUUUAAAAAAAAAAAGUAUAAACCAAGAAAAUGUCGGAUUUUUGUAAAUAUAUCCAAUUCUGUUAUAUGAUUGUCUUACUUAGGACAGGAAGAAUUAAAAGAUAACCAUGGUUUAUCCCUAUGCUGAUAUGGU
rnacentral:lncRNA from 1 species